rnacentral:rRNA from 1 species
GACCAGACUCCUACGGGAGGCAGCAGUGGGGAAUAUUGCACAAUGGGGGAAACCCUGAUGCAGCGACGCCGCGUGAGCGAUGAAGUAUUUCGGUAUGUAAAGCUCUAUCAGCAGGGAAGAAAAUGACGGUACCUGACUAAGAAGCCCCGGCUAACUACGUGCCAGCAGCCGCGGUAAUACGUAGGGGGCAAGCGUUAUCCGGAUUUACUGGGUGUAAAGGGAGCGUAGACGGCGAUGCAAGCCAGAUGUGAAAGCCCGGGGCUCAACCCCGGGACUGCAUUUGGAACUGUAUAGCUGGAGUGUCGGAGAGGCAGGCGGAAUUCCUAGUGUAGCGGUGAAAUGCGUAGAUAUUAGGAGGAACACCAGUGGCGAAGGCGGCCUGCUGGACGAUGACUGACGUUGAGGCUCGAAAGCGUGGGGAGCAAACAGGAUUAGAUACCCCAGUACGA